CUUCAUAUUUUCUGAGCUUAUCAAAUUAUUUUGCCGAGAUAUUAUGGUCACAGGGUAUGCUAAUGUCAAUCAAUAAACAGACUUUACUGUUUUGGCCUUUCACAACAUCUGAUUUAUUUGCUUUGAUCUGUACUUACUGAGAAGUUCCAAUGAUUCGUGACAUUUUCAACCUUCAUUUACAGCCUCAAGGUGGUGCUUGUAUCAUUUGUCAGCAGUUUUAAUUUUAUAAUGCUGACACAUUAUUCAAUGUGGAUAUUUGCCAACUCUGUCAUGUCUUGAUUUGUUCUCCACAGGCGCUAAAACCUUACGCCCAGAGGUCAGGCGGUGCACUGUUUCUAUCCCAUCGUUGCCGUAUCGGCACUAUGGAUCCACACCAUUUUUCAUCACAUUGGCUUGAUAGUUCCGAGUCAAUAAUCUCUGAUCUUGGGCAGUCAACAUAAAGCCUUCACUCUCUGCCUUUAACCAUGAACUCCGUAACAACUGAAACCUCAACGGAAUGCGGAUAACGAGCAUUGUAUAUUAAUUCUGCUUCACUCGACUCAAAUUAUUUCAUUUUAUCACUUUUUUUUUCUCUCUUACGAAUGAUGAACGAGUAAACAAUCGAUUGAAGAUUUGCCGCCUAGUUCUCUUCACGUCUAAUGAAAUGAUUGCUUAAAUCUUUA